rnacentral:rRNA from 1 species
GACGAACGCUGGCGGCGUGCUUAACACAUGCAAGUCGAACGGUGAAAGCGGAGCUUGCUCCGCUGGAUCAGUGGCGAACGGGUGAGUAACACGUGGGCAACCUGCCCCUCGCUUCGGGAUAACUCCGGGAAACCGGGGCUAAUACCGGAUAUGACCUCCUUGGGCAUCCUUGGAGGUGGAAAGUUUUUCGGUGAGGGAUGGGCCCGCGGCCUAUCAGCUUGUUGGUGGGGUAGUGGCUCACCAAGGCGACGACGGGUAGCCGGCCUGAGAGGGCGACCGGCCACACUGGGACUGAGACACGGCCCAGACUCCUACGGGAGGCAGCAGUGGGGAAUAUUGCGCAAUGGGCGAAAGCCUGACGCAGCAACGCCGCGUGCGGGAUGACGGCCUUCGGGUUGUAAACCGCUUUCAGCAGGGAAGAAGCCGCAAGGUGACGGUACCUGCAGAAGAAGCACCGGCUAACUACGUGCCAGCAGCCGCGGUAA